AAAUUGAAGAGUUUGAUCAUGGCUCAGAUUGAACGCUGGCGGCAGGCCUAACACAUGCAAGUCGAACGGUAACAGGAAACAGCUUGCUGUUUCGCUGACGAGUGGCGGACGGGUGAGUAAUAUCUGGGAAACUGCCUGAUGGAGGGGGAUAACUACUGGAAACGGUAGCUAAUACCGCAUAACGUCGCAAGACCAAAGAGGGGGA
rnacentral:rRNA from 1 species